GACGAACGCUGGCGGCGUGCUUAACACAUGCAAGUCGAACGGAAAGGCCCUGCUUGCAGGGUACUCGAGUGGCGAACGGGUGAGUAACACGUGGGUGAUCUGCCCUGCACUUCGGGAUAAGCCUGGGAAACUGGGUCUAAUACCGGAUAGGAGCCAUUUUUAGUGUGAUGGUUGGAAAGUUUUUUCGGUGUAGGAUGAGCUCGCGGCCUAUCAGCUUGUUGGUGGGGUAAUGGCCUACCAAGGCGGCGACGGGUAGCCGGCCUGGGAGGGUGGACGGCCACAUUGGGGCUGAGAUACGGGCCAGACUCCCACGGGGGGCAGCAGUGGGGAAAAUUGGACAAUGGGCGCAAGCCUGAUGCAGCGACGCCGCGUGGGGGAUGACCGCCUUCGGGUUGGAAACUCCUUUCGCUAGGGACGAAGCUUUUUGUGACGGUACCUAGAUAAGAAGCACCGGCUAACUACGUG
rnacentral:rRNA from 1 species